rnacentral:lncRNA from 1 species
GGGCACAGCUCCGAGCCUGAGGGAGCUCAAAAAACAUUUGGACAACGCGCUCAGACACAGGGUCUGAUUUCUGGGUGGUCCUGUGGGGUCCCAGGAGUUGGACUCAGUGAUCCCUGUGUGUCCCUUCCAACGUGGGCGCUCUGUGGGUCAGUGAUUCUGUGACGAGAUAAACCUGGCAGCAGCAGGGCUGGCACCAGCUCCUGUCGCUGCAGCUGUGUUUGGGGGUUCGUGGACAGGAGGAGUGCAGGUGGAGGGAGCAGCCGCACCUGCAGUGUGUGUGCAGCAGGGUGGUUUUGGCACUGAGUUUCUGGCAGGUUAUUUUUCAGCCAGCACCUGUUCCCUCUUCUUGUUUCCAAAAUUGUCCAAGUGUUUUUAUACACACCUUAAGGAGAGAGCAGGAGCAUGUGGUGAGAAGGGUGAGAAGUGGAAACUGCCAGAGCUCAAGGAACAAAGUCAACUGUUUUGCUACUGCUUUUAGCAGCGACUGCCAAAGCUGGAAGUUGAUAUGACCGUGGAGUGUAUGACCUACUAAUCAGGCAGAUACUUUAUGAAAGUAGGUAAGUAAUUCUCUACAUUCAAGAAUGUUUCCUGCAAUAAAGUCUACCAUACUUCACUGGGCUUCUGCA